AUCCAUCCCCCGUCUCAACCCAAAUACGUUCUCCAACACUUGUUCUUUUUAAGUCUUCCCUCUCACCGUUCUUCGAUCUUCACUCUCUCUUUCUCAAUUCUAAAAAUCUCUCCUUUUGCUCUUACUGCACGACUAAGGUCCCCGUCGAUCUCCCUCCUGUCGCAAGUCUUUCCAGAAGACAAUCAUUAGUAAUAAGUGGGCUAUAACAUGUUGAUGUUUCUGCUUCACUCCCCACUCUCUUUGUCCACAAAGGUAAGUAUGUCAAAUAAUUUUGGGGGUUUAAUGGUUUUAUGUGAUGGAAAGGAUGUUUUGUGAGUUCUAUUUACUGAUUUUCAUUUUAUUGAGAAUAACUUUGAUAACGAUGGAGAAAUUUUUUGGUGUCAUAAAGAAUGAUUAAUUAAGCAGAUGAACAAGAGAUUGUAAAGAAAUCUUUUUCGAAUUUGUAUGAAAUAUUUUGAAUUGUUUGUAUACCAUAUCGCAAUAGCCAAUUCUUUUGUCUUACAUCGAUUUCGAAAAUUAGAAUCUCAGGCUUCUCGUCCUUAUUUGUCUAGGUACUUGAUCUAUCUUGAACUUGAUAUUUGAAAACAGAUAACCUGUUGCUUGAUAUAAGAAAAUGGUAGCCUAUUGCUUGAUUAUUUUCGUCCAGGUACUUGGAGUUUUACAAUUGCUACUUAAGAUUAUAUUGUUUGUUAUGGACUUUAAUAAAUUCUUGAUUACAUGCUCUUUGUUUGUCAAUUAUUGAUCUACUUCUUCCAUUAAUUAGCUAGCUUUUUAUCAGAAAAUUAGAGUGACAGAAAACGUGGUAUGAGCCCCUUUUGGUAAGUCACCCUCUUUUCUCCCAAUUUCCAAUCGCUUCUCAUAUGCGAAUCCAUUUCUUUCUAUACAUUCGUUGGAUUGUUAUUGUUAAGGGAAUUCUUAUUGAUAUUACCUUUUCACGCUAGAUGUAGAAAAUAUACGAAUUCUCCCUACACUCAAUAGUUAUUGCUUUUGGGCUACUCUCUUUGUGCAGCUCAAGGAAUGCAAUCGCGUUUGAUUAUGGAAGAGCUAAAGAAAUGAUGAUUGAGUGAGGAAUAUUAUGAACCCAUGCCCACAAGUUAUUUUAGUGAUCUUCUUUCAUGUUUUAUAUUAUUGUCAAGUGUGUGAUACAAUGUAAAUUCAUAGAAUACAAGUUGGAUGGAUGAA